GCAGAACGCGAAGAACCUUACCAGGCCUUGACAUGCACUGGACAGACGCUGAAAGGCGUCCUUCCUUCGGGACCGGUGCACAGGUGCUGCAUGGCUGUCGUCAGCUCGUGUCGUGAGAUGUUGCGUUAAGUCGCGCAACGAGCGCAACCCCGUGUCCUUAGUUGCCACCAUUAAGUUGGGCACUCUAGGGAGACAAACCCUCUUUGAGGGUGGGAAGGUGGGGAUGACGUCAAGUCAGGAUGGCCCUUACGGCCUGGGCUGCACACGUGCUACAAUGCUCGGUACAGAGGGAUGCAAUACCGCGAGGUGGAGCCAAUCCUAAAAACCCGGAGCCCAGUUCAGAUUGCAGUCUGCAACUCGACUGCAUGAAGCCGGAAUCGCUAGUAAUCGCGGAUCAGCAUGCCGCGG
rnacentral:rRNA from 1 species